CCUACGGGAGGCUGCAGUGGGGAAUAUUGGACAAUGGGGGCAACCCUGAUCCAGCCAUGCCGCGUGUGUGAAGAAGGCCCUCGGGUUGUAAAGCACUUUCAGUGAGGAAGAACGCCUGUUGGUUAAUACCCAUCAGGAAAGACAUCACUCACAGAAGAAGCACCGGCUAACUCCGUGCCAGCAGCCGCGGUAAUACGGAGGGUGCGAGCGUUAAUCGGAAUUACUGGGCGUAAAGCGCGCGUAGGUGGCUUGAUAAGCCGGUUGUGAAAGCCCCGGGCUCAACCUGGGAACGGCAUCCGGAACUGUCAAGCUAGAGUGCAGGAGAGGAAGGUAGAAUUCCCGGUGUAGCGGUGAAAUGCGUAGAGAUCGGGAGGAAUACCAGUGGCGAAGGCGGCCUUCUGGACUGACACUGACACUGAGGUGCGAAAGCGUGGGUAGCAAACAGGAUUAGAUACCCCUGUAGUC
rnacentral:rRNA from 1 species